rnacentral:rRNA from 1 species
GACGAACGCUGGCGGCGUGCUUAACACAUGCAAGUCGAGCGGUAAGGCCCUUUCGGGGGUACGACGAGCGGCGAACGGGUAGGAGUAACAACGUGGGUGGACCUCGCCCUCCAGCUCUGGGAGUAAGACCCGGGAAACCGUAGGGUCGUAAUAACUGGAGUAUGACUCCAUGACGCAUGUUGUGGGGUGGGAAAGACCUUG